rnacentral:rRNA from 1 species
AUUGAACGCUGGCGGCAUGCUUUACACAUGCAAGUCGAACGGCAGCACGGGGGCAACCCUGGUGGCGAGUGGCGAACGGGUGAGUAAUGCAUCGGAACGUACCCAGUCGUGGGGGAUAACGCAGCGAAAGUUGUGCUAAUACCGCAUACGACCUGAGGGUGAAAGCGGGGGACCGUAAGGCCUCGCGCGAUUGGAGCGGCCGAUGUCUGAUUAGCUAGUUGGUGGGGUAAAGGCCCACCAAGGCGACGAUCAGUAGCGGGUCUGAGAGGAUGAUCCGCCACACUGGGACUGAGACACGGCCCAGACUCCUACGGGAGGCAG